rnacentral:rRNA from 1 species
UAUGAAGGGGGCUAGCGUUGUUCGGAAUUACUGGGCGUAAAGCGCACGUAGGCGGAUUUGUUAGUCAGGGGUGAAAUCCCGGGGCUCAACCUCGGAACUGCCUUUGAUACUGCAAGUCUCGAGUCCGGAAGAGGUGAGUGGAAUUCCUAGUGUAGAGGUGAAAUUCGUAGAUAUUAGGAAGAACACCAGUGGCGAAGGCGGCUCACUGGUCCGGUACUGACGCUGAGGUGCGAAAGCGUGGGGAGCAAACAGGG